CCAGCUGAAGACACACGGCUCCGGCUUCUGCAGAAAUUGGCAGGAGGCAAGAGAAAUUGUCCCAGUUUGCUAAUGAAUGUACAGAAGGAAAUUAUCUUCUUUGCUGGGCUGUUGCCUGUAAAUGUGUCAUUUUCUUAUCCACAUCAUUGUGAGACACGAUCAGCUGGGAAGUUUGACUAUUUUGAAGGCACUGCUUUGCUCUAUAAUGAUGACUUUGGAAGUGGGGUGCAUCAGAAAUAUCUGGAGAUUCUUCCCCCCCCAAAAUAAGGUGGUUAAGAUUCUCUCCUUUUUGGCAGACAUGCUAAACCAGAAAGCCGGGGGUGGGGCUCGGUGCCUGAAUUUUGAUAAUAUUCUUCCUGGGACUUCGACUUAACAGUCCUGGGUGUGAACCUUGCAGUAAAGAGCUGGGAUAUCUGUAGUUAGGGCUGAGCUUUACGUUCUAUAAACUCUUAAAUUUGGGAUGCAGGGGUGGGGGCAGGGGUGGCCAAAAGUUCAGAUGUCCCUUAAAGUUCAAUGAAUAGCUAUAAGUUAGAAAAAUAGAUUCAACUGUAGGUUAAAAUACAGUUGACCCUUGAAAAAUGCAUGGAUUUGGGGCACUGACCCCCCGAACAGUUGAAAGUCCACGUGUAUCUUUGGACUCCCCCAAAACGUAACCACUCACAGCCUACCAUUGACCGCAAGACUUCACGGUAACAUAAAUAGUUGGUUAACUCAUAUUUUGUAGGUUAUAUGUAUUAUAUACUGUAUGUAUUCUUGCAGCAAAGUAAGCUGGACAAAAGAAAAUGAGAAUCAGAAAAUCAUAAGGUAGAGAAAACGCAUGUACGGGAUUGUGCGGUAUUUAUCGAGAACAAUCUGCACAUCGGCAGACCCCUGCAGUUCACGACCGUGUCGUUCAGGGUCAAUGGCAGAUCUUUAUUUGUAUCUGCUGUCAUGGGCACAUUGGCCUCAGAAAGCACUGUCGCAUGGAAACAGCCAGUGUAUGGUCCCUACUGUUUUCAUUGCCUUUCCUCCUUUCCAAAUAUCUGUUGUGUUUUUCCCCUUCAUGCCCAGAAGGACCAGUGACGACUUCUUGUUUUUCCUAAAUAUCCAGAAGCAGUUCCCAUAUGGGUGAGCGGAGGACCUCUUCAUGCGUAAUGCUCUCCAUCCCACAUCUGUGCAACCAUCACUACCAUCCAUCCCACAGCGAUAUAUAGUCUGCAUUCCAUGGCAUUUGCGGUGACCCUUUGGAAAGUCUCAUUUCAUCAGUUCACGAGAAAACCUGUAAACGUUUUAAGGAUGCCCACUGGGUGGAGAACACAUUCAGCCCUCAGACAUGGUGAAUAAGGUGAAGAUUAAUUACAUAAGCUUUUAACACAGGGACCAAACCACUUGGAUUGGGUUAUUGGUAGAAUGGAACGAGGGACAUCAAAGAAGUACAAUUCAUUAAUGCCCCCCCACAUUUUCAACCCUCCUGCUCUUCCCACGGAAUCAGAGGUUCAGUGCUUAGGCACAUCCCAAGAUGUGGGCAUUCAGUCGUAAGGUUGAGAAAGUCACCGGCAACAACAGGAUGCGUCAGGUGCCAUAUUUCCACUUCUGGUUAAGAUGGACAUAGUAGGCUUACCCUCCAGCCUCAACCAAUCAAGAAAUAGAGAGUCAAAGAACAGUCUUCAAGACUGGACUUCAGGCACUUAUGAACAGUAAUCCCUGGGAGACAGAAGAACAGAGCAGGUGGAAUCCCUGUCUAGUGGGUCACCACACAGCACCAGAGGGACCCGGCCUUCAAGAGAGUGGAAGGAGGCAUUGGGGGGCCCAGCCCAUUCCUUCCAUAGCUCAUGGUUGCAACGUGGCCCCGCACCACUGCACUGCAAGGGAGGUGGGGAAAGGCACCCUCCAGGGCAACCAUGUGCCCAACAGACUCGGGGGCUCUGUGACCAAAAGGACAAAGGGAAGAAUGGAGUGGAGUAGGGAGUGGGGGUGUCCAUAUCUGCCACCAUCCUCAGGGGGACGAUGAGGACCAGGAAAAUGGCAGUAAGUGCAGUAGAAGGAGCAGAUUGGAAAGGGAUAUUGGAAUCGGUGGGGCUUUGGGAAGAGUCUGGCAUGAACAGAGGACAAGGGGCUGAGCAGCUCACAGAAGAUUCGCCCUUGACAGCAGAUUCUUGGGUUGGGAAGAGCAUGGCGCCAUGUUUCCUGGGACAGCAUCAGAAGAACCUGGGACCGGCUGAGCCGUAGACGGGUGCCAAGGGAUGGCACGAAAGGAGGGAGGUCCGUGUGUGAAGACACUCAAUGCUGACGGGAACAAGACAGAAUGGACAGCAGCCUCAGGGAAGGACGAGGUCAAGAGAGACCGUGUCCUUGAAGACAGGGCCAUGGGCGAGCAUUUUUGCCACGGCUUUCCUGCAAACAGUGCCGAGCAGCAUCUGCCAUCUGGUAUUUAUGGACAGUCGGGGAAGGGAAGGGCCUAGAAGGAGCCAGAGCGAACGUCCGGGAGGUGCCUCUCCCGGAGGCCGGCGUGGGCGGCGGGAAGUCAGGCGGGUCAGAUGUCUGUGGUCAAGACAUGACUCACAAGCAGUGGCUGGGGACACUGGAGAGCCGUUGACAGGGGGCUUUGGAGGGGGACCCAUGCUUCCUCCCAGAGCCGCGAUGCCAGGCUUGUGCCUCCGACGGCCGAUGCCACCCGCCUUCCCGGACAAUGACACCACCCCCAGAAGCCACCUCCGUGCUUAUGAGUCAGCAACUCACCCCCGAUACGACGACGGGACGUUCUCACUGAUGCACUUUGAUCCUCUUCCAAGUGCUUUCCUUGGUGUCCCUGAGAGUCCUGAGUAAGCCCCACGGCUCCUUUCCUUUCCUUCUCUUUGUUUUUUCUUAACAGCCCAGAAAUCCCCAAGUCCCCUCAUUCUCCAGGAAUCAGACUGAUGUCAUCGAAACCUCAGCAUGUGCUUUCCAUUAAUGAUGGAAACUUUCCUUCUCAUGACCGAAGGAGUUUAUGAGACACUCAAUGGUGUACCCUAACAUCUUUAUGAUUGAAAAAAAAAAUGACCAUUGUCAUUGGGAAGAUCAUCUGCAGAUAUAAAAAAAAAAAUCUACAAAAGUUAAUAAAAAGAGACUCUGUACUGUUUUUAUCAAAUUCCCAUCGUCUAUAAUAUAAUCCGCUCUGUCAAGCUAUGAAAGGGAAGCAUGUAGUGCUCACUAGCAGCAUCUUGAUCUCAUAUGGAGAGGUUGAAUAUGUGUCAAUUAUUUUUAAAAUAUGCACCACUGACAGAAUCUAGAAGCUCCAGAUGUUAAAGGCUAAAAAAAAAAAAAAAAAAGAGUUUAUCCCCUGGAGUUUUGUUGAAAUUCUGUGGUGUUUAUUCAUGUCCUUUCCCUUAGUAAGACCAUUUAUUCCCUUGUUUCGGAGAAGUCAGUGAUGGUGAAGGCUUCUCCUUCCCCAUGUUUCAAUGGCCGUGAAACAUUUUCUUCUUCCCCAGACACUUGACAUUUGCUCACCUUUUCUCACACAUUAACACAUUGGACCCAUGAGCUCGGUCAAGGCUGCCUUGCCUCCUGAUACGUAGGGUUGUUUUCGUUCAAGUGUUCAGGGACACGUGCUGGCCAGAAAGUCAGCGAUUCUUACCUUGUAAAGGCUCAUCGCAUCUUGCAGGAGAACGAAGAGCAGAAUGGGAGCAGGUACUUGGCUGCUCUAAGUGAUCACUUAAUUUUCUCUUGGAGAGACAGCAUGAGUGGGGGAUUUGCUGGCUGAGGUCUGACCCCAGUUGGUUCCCCUAACCUCCUGGGACCUUCCUGAGCUACCUAUAAACUCUACAGGGAAGACUUCCAAGCUCCAUUUCCGUUCAAACACCACUUGGCUUUCUUCCAGCAGAGAGACAGCAUUGAACUAUGGUCGCCAUGCAUCCCUGCUCCAGCAUUUUGCCAGAUGAUGAUGGGAUUGGUCACAGUUAAAAAAAAAAAAAAAUACAACCCUUCCAGAUUGUGGUAACUUUUUCCUCUAAGAGCCUGAAAAAAUGUCCCCAAAGAUACCAGGUCUCCAUCACUAGAACCUGGGAAUAUGACCCUCUUUGGAGAAAGGGUCUUUGCAGGCUGUCCACAUCUAAGCUCAGCCUUGCCUGAACAUCUACCCAUUUAGGACUUGGAGGGGAUGAAGGUCCACAGCAGAAUCCAAGAAGGGAAAUCCUUUUCUGAUGCACGCUAAGGGUAGAGGGGCUAAGGUUGCCCAACAUUUGCAGUGUUGUAUCCUGAGGCCCCGGGCAAAUCUUAUCCUUCCAGAUUCCACCCCACCAGAGCUCAGAACUGGCACAGUCUGAAGACUGAGAGGUUGAGGUGAGUCACCAGCAGAAGCUGGAAAUAAAUCCUCAGUCUUUGUAUUUAGGUCAGUGCCUCCCAAAGUACAGAGUUCUUCAUCCAUUUGGCAUAUCUAUGCGAUCAAACCUGGCAUCUGACCACAGCCUCUGCCAAAGACGGCAGAAGAGUGAGGUCAGCCUUGAAAAUAAUAUUCCAAAUGUGUUGGAUCUCCAGAUUUCUCUCAGGAUACGAAGCUAGAAUCCAUAUAUUAACAACCUGAGUAUGUUUCCCGACAGGAAUAAACCAGGAGCAUGUGCACAUCUGCUCCAGUAAAUGAGAGACCAGAGGGGAUGAAGUAGGGAAGCCCCCUCCCUCAGGGUGGCUGCAGGUUCCUUUCAGAGGUGUCCUUACUGGAUGGUCGACACUUCUUUUUAACUGAAUAUUAUAGUAACCUGAGAAUUUUAAAAGAGUUUGGUUUUUAAAGUUAUGUGGCACUGUCAUAUCCAAAUUGCAGUGGUAACUCAGUGAAAGUCACUAACAUCGGGCGCCUGGGUGGCUCAGUUGGUUAAGCAACUGCCUUCGGCUCAGGUCAUGAUCCUGGAGUCCCGGGAUCGAGUCCUGCAUCGGGCUCCCUGCUCGGCAGGGAGUCUGCUUCUCCCUCUGACCCUCCCCCCUCUCAUGUACUCUCUCUCAUUCUCGCUCUCUCAAAUAUAUAAAUAAAUCUUUAAAAAAAAAAAAAAGUCACUGACAUCUUAAUUGCUGGGGUUACCCUCAUGAGAAGCUCAACAGCAUGGCCAUAAGUAUAAAUUCAUAUAAUAUGUAAUGCAUAUUACAUAUAUUAACUUUUUAAAAUCUAUCAGUCAUCUAUCUCUUACCAAUUCUAUCAAUUCUCAUCUAUCUGUAUCUAUCUACCAUCUAUCAAAUUUAUAAAUUUUCCAUUUAUCCAUGUCUAUCAUCUAUCUAUCUAGCCAUCCACCUUUUAUCUGACCUAUAUAUCCAUUCAUCUAUCUAUCUAUCUGUCUAUCUAUCUAUCUAUCUAUCUAUCUAUCUAUCUAUCUAUCUAUCUACCUACCUAUCUAUAUCAUCUAUCUAUCCAUCUAUCCAUCCAUCCACCUAUUAUUUAUGACCUAUAUAUCCAUUCAUCUAUCUACCUAUCUAUCAUCUAUCAUCCAUCCAUUCAUCCAUCUAUCCAUCCAUCCAUCCAUCCAUCAUUAUCUAUCUAUCUACCUACUUAUCUAUAUCAUCUAUCUAUCCAUCUAUCCAUCCAUCCACCUAUUAUUUAUGACCUAUAUAUCCAUUCAUCUAUCUAACUAUCUAUCAUAUCUAUCAUCCAUCCAUUCAUCCAUCUAUCCAUCCAUCCAUCCAUCAUUAUCUAUCUAUCUAUCUAUCUAUCUAUCUAUCUAUCUAUCUAUCUAUCUAUCUACCUAUCUACCUAUCUAUCUAUAUCAUCUAUCUAUCCAUCUAUCCAUCCAUCCACCUAUUAUUUAUGACCUAUAUAUCCAUUCAUCUAUCUACCUAUCUAUCAUCUAUCUAUCAUCUAUCAUCUAUCUAUCAUCUAUCCAUCCAUCCAUCCAUCCACCUAUUAUUUAUCUGACUUAUAUAUCCAUCCAUCCAUCCAUCCAUCCAUCCAUCCAUCCAUCCAUCCAUCCUAUUUAUCAAUCUAUCCAUCUGUCCAUCCACCCAUCAUUUAUCUAUCUGUCCUCCACCAUCUAUCAUAUCUAUCUAUCUAUCUAUCUAUCUAUCUAGCAUGUAUCCAUUCUUCCGUUCAUAGAUAAUAUCCUCAGUGACUCUGCUAUUAUUCUCAUUCUUCAGAUGAAAAACCACGUGAUAGGGUCAUGAGUUACCUUAGGAAGGUGUCAUUGUCCUAAGAGAUGGCGCUGACACGUGGCUCUCCUACCUCUUUUACUAAAGAUGUGUGUGUGUGUGAUUCACAAACCCCUGGAACAUUUUACCUGCUUCAGACACAUCAUUACACCACAUCAAUUGUAGACAUCAUUUAUAUUAAAUUGUGUUGUUGUACUAUAGAAUAAGGUAAUUCAGUUGUCAUUAUAUAUAUCCACCAGAUACUUAAUUCUAUUAAAACUUACUAUUGCUGUGUAGAGUCCCUUGAAAAUACCUUUUAACCAAGUUUUUUGAGUGUGUUUUGAAAUAACUCUUUUUGAUGGUUGUUGGAAGGUAAAUUCACAUUUGUGAGCUUCCCAAGCUCUAGAGCUCCAAGGGAGUGGGGAUUUACCAUAUAGUCAGCUUCUCCUUAAGCCUGUAUGAGCCCGUGUAAGUCCUUACACUUACCUCGGAGAGGGACACCAGCGUUUACUGCCAUGGCCAAAUUUGGUUCUUUAUUUUACUGCUGAUGUAAUAAUCACUUACUAUCUGAUGGAUAUUGAACUAUUUUACCUGCUAUACAUGUGUUUUUUUAAACAUCUCAGUUAGUAAUAUUCCCACUCUCUCCAGCAGUCAGGACCUAAAGGACUGGAUUUUGCCGUGGGAGAUAGCCCAGCCGUCAGAGCUCUGUGCCCAUAGCAGGUGGAAGUGGCCACCAAGACCAAGUGGGUUUGCAUGCAGUAAUUCCAUACGGUGGUUUUGGUGACCUAGAAUGAUCUUUUGCAUGAAAUGUCUCCUGAGACUUCACAAAGUCACUGCAUUGCUCAAAUCCAGAAACUCUAUGGGUGAGUGAUGGGGAUAUUUCUGUUGCUGGGAUCAGUCUGACUUUGAAACAUUUCCUUGGUUAAAAUGAUGUGAGGGAUAUGGAAGGUACAGGGGAUUGGAGAUUGUGUGCAUGUGUGCAUGCAUAUGAGAGAGAGAGGGAGGGAGGGAGAGGAAGGCACAGGAAGGAUGCUCAUUUAUAGGGAACAUAUUAGCUGUAUUGAGAAAGGUUCCCCACCCAUUCUGCCAUGAGCCCCCAUGAUAGGGUAAUAAUCAUGCUAUUCUCAAGGUAGAUUAUUAGGGUUUAUGCAUCUGUGGGGUUUAUGGAAAAUGUGGGUUUUCCAUGGCUUUGCCAGUUGAUAGGACCUUAAAAUGCCAUUCAUUUGGGUCAAGCUACCAUGUGAGAAAUACUAUAUUUGGGGACAAUGGUUGGAAGGACCACUGGUCCCAGAUAGCAUGGGUUUUAUUUUAUUUGAAUAUGUCUGCAAUUCUCCAGAAAAAUUUAAUCUAAUCAUGAUGAAAACUUUGGAAGGCAGACUAUUUAAAAAAGUUACUCUUCCCCUACCCCCUUGACCUGAAAUUUGUUAAUAUAUUCCUGUCAACCACAAUUUUCAACUCUGCCUAGACCAUCCAAAAGCUGAAUUCUGGACCUCUUCUGUUGUAAUUCUACACAGAAUUGCUUCCUCUGAGCAUCACUUUGUUAUUACUCACUGGGGGUUAAGAUUGAAAAUAUUUAUAGCAGAGUGUAUUUACAAAUUGUGUCACUCUCUUCACUGUAGGGGAAUUAAUGAAGACAUGUUUGGUAUUAAUGACUCAGAGAUAUGACUGGAACAGCUUUCCUUUGUGGGAAGGAAAUGUUGGGAAAUCGUUAUUCAUAUAACAAGAGAGGUCUCACUUUUUCCCUUGGCUGCCAGGAAGUUCGUAAGUCAGUCACCUUUAAAAAUCUUGUCAUUGUGGUUGACAGGGAUAUAUUUAUAUUAACAGAUUUCAGGUCAAGGGGAUGGGGGAAGAGUAAAUUUUUAGAUGUCUGCCUUCCAAAGUUUUCAUUAUGAUUAGAGUAAAGUUUUCUGGAGAAUUGCAAACCUACAAAAGUAGGGAGAGGGGCACCAGGGUGGCUCAGUCGGUUCAGCAUCUGCCUUUGGCUCAGGUCAUGAUCUGAGACAAGCUUGCAUGUCAAUGCGGCACUGACACAUAAAUCAUCAUCCCAACACUCUCCUAAAUCAAACACAAAUGAGGCUGUCAUUUGGAAUGUGCGUCCAGUUCAUAGCUGCUGCUGGGUUUAUAGGGUCUUGGGAUUGAGCCUGGCGUCGGGCUCCUUGCUCAGUGGGGAGUCUGCUUCUCCCUCUCCCUCUGCCCCUACCACUUGCUCAUGCUCUCACUUUCGCAUAAAUAAAAACCCUUAAAAAAAAAAAGUAGGGAGAAUAGUCUAUUGUAUUCCCCCAUGUACCCAUUAUGUUGACUAAUACCAACCCAUGGGCAAUGCUGUUUAAUCUACACCCAUACCUGUCCCCUCCUACAACCCUCAGACUUACCUUGAAGCUAAUCCCAAGCAUGGGAGAAUUGCAUUCAUUUAUUUAAUUACAUCUUAUUUUCUUGUGCAUAGCAUUAAGCACUAUACACAAUACAUUAGGAAUACAUGCAUAUUUACAAAACUCAUCUUUUUGCAUAAUUCAUUGAACUUCUGUUAAUAUGCUGGACUUGGUGCUCAGUCCCAGCCUUGGAAACCAACCCAAGACCAUCCCUUGGUGACAGGAGGGUGUCCGAUUGUGUGGUCUUGCUAUGGCAUUGAUGGCCCUUACCUGAGUUUCUCCUUUUCUUGGACCCUGAUGACAUUUUCUGGAGAGAAAAGAUGCAAUUAAAAAAAAAAAAGUCUAUCUUAUGAUUGGACUAUUAGUAAGAUACUCCAGGGGCCAGAAGAGACCAAUAAUUCUUUUUUUCCCCUCUGUCAUAACUCAAUCCAGAGUUUGGAUUCCAUUCCCCAAGGAGGCAUGGCUCCUUCCCCAAGGAGGCAUGCCAUCCGAUCUUCUGGGAUUCUGGAAGGAAAGCCCAUUCUAGGCUAGCACGAGACGAGUUUGUAUGUGUGCAACCUGCUUAGAUCAGGAGGUGAGGUGGGCCUGAUGCUUCCUGGUACUUUCCCCCUCGUCUAUGAACCAAGAAGCCAAGACGCCAUAUCGACCAGCCUUGCUCCACCAUCUUUUCUUUUCUUCAAAACACCAUCUUGCUGCUUCAAUGCCUAUAUAGGUUCAACUGAGCUCUCAAGCUUGCAUGUCAAUGCGGCACUGACACAUAAAUCAUCAUCCCAACGCUCUCCUAAAUCAAACACAAACGAGGCUGUCAUUUGGAAUGUGCGUCGAGUUCAUAGCUGCUGCUGGGUUUAUAGUCUUGCGAAAUUGGUAUUUACGGUUAGUCCACUUAAGCAGUUAUGAUCCUCUCGGUUUGUGUGCACUUGGCAGCGGGGGAGACAUGCCCUGGCUGCUUGUAGAAGUAGAAGUAAUGGACUGUGUUUUCCAAAAGUAUUGACUCAGAGCAAUGGAAGCUGUUAAGUGCAGGGCUGUUUGGUGCUAGUUAGGAAGAAUGGGAAGUCGGGAGGACCACCCCCUCGGCUGGGGCCUGUCCACAGGUACCAUGGGUGUUACAGAGGAUGGAUUCUCAAAGACGGAAAACCCUUGUUAACAAAGCAAAUAGAGAGAAAGUCUGUGGAAUCCCAGAAGGGAGAUUUGCAGGAAAAUGUGUCAUCUGGCGUCAAAGACAGGGGGCAGUUAAUAGAUUGUUUCUUAAGCUUUUUGGGUUUCCUCCUGACUUCUGCUCAAAGCUGUAGAGCAUGGCUCGGCAAUCUUUUUCUGUAAAAAGGGUAAAUAUUCUUGGCUUUUGUUUGCCAUAUGUAUGGUCUCUGCUGCAGCGUCAGCUCUGCCCUGUGAGCAGGUAAAUGGAUAUAGACAAUACGUAACCCAGGGGCAUGGCUGUGUUCCAAUAAAACUUUAUUUAUGGACACAGAAACUUGAAUUUCACGUAAUUUUCAGGGUCACAGAAGAUUCUUCUUUUGACUUUUGCCCAACCAUUUAAAACAAGGCAUGAAUUAAUCUUAGCUGACCUAUACCAGGCAGCUCACAAGAUUUGGCUCAUGGGUCAUUAGUUCCCAACUCCUGGUCUAGAUGACUUGCUUUAGUCAGGGGUCUUCAGAGAAACAGGACUGAUUGGAUAUAUAUGUAGGAAGAGAUCUUUUCUAGGGAAUUGGCUCACAUGAUCAUGGAGGCUGUGAAGUCCCACCAUCUGCUGUCUGCAAGCUGGAGGACCUCCCAACUUGGCUGCCUGGACAAGAAGACGGGAAGCGAAUGCUCCAUGUCCCAGGAUUCUUGGCAUCUGGGAUCCUCACCUGAGCCAGAUUCUUCCAGGGCAACUGGGCAGAAAUACGUAUGUACAGACAUUCAACGGCCUUCACCACCCAGACCACUGGCCUCACUGCACAAUUAUUCCUUGGGGUCUGCCGUCAUCCUAGAAUAUAUAGAACGGAGGACUCACCCAAUUUACUAUUUUAGAAAUAUUCUCUAAAUGUGAACAAGUGUCUCACAGCUCACAAAAUCCCAUCAUCUUUCCCAGGGUCCCGCCACUGGCAGACGUCACUUCCCUGGGCCCCCCUCCCAGGUACAGUGGGCAGAGGGCUCCCCAUAAUGAAAUGCAGUGAUGUCUACUGGCAGUCGCCCAACCAGGCUGGAACCAUUUGGAGAGGAAAUCCACAUGAGUCCUUCUAAAUGGCUUGGGGUCUGCAGAAAAGGAAGUUUGACCAGAGGGUGGCAGGACCCUCCCGGUAUCUUGUCAUGGGGUCAUGGUCAACACCCAAGCCAUCGGAUGACAUCUGCAUUGUGCAUCAACAUGGCUGGAGGCCUGUACCUUCGACGUCCCUCUAACGAAAGCCCCUACCUGUGUCUGGGUUGGAGAUGAAUAAGGACAACCCAGUGUUGAAUUUAGUGGCCAACGUCUGGAGCCAGACAUUGCUGUCUUUGUGAAAAGAGCUUCAUUACCACUGGUCCAUGUGGCCUCCUUGACCACGUUGUUCUGGCCAUCAUGGCACCCAGCUUGUCCUCUGAGAGCAAAUGGGCUCCAUUGAGAACAGGGAACCUCCAUUGCUGAUGAUGAUGGUCCACAUGUUGAGUGGGAAGGUUCUAGAGUUGUAUUAUCUAACAUGAUAGCGACCUGACCCCUAUGGCUAAUGAAAUUGAAAUUGAAAUUAUUUAAAAUAAAAUAAAAUUUAUAAGUCACUUCUUUGGUCAAAUGAGCCACAUUUCCAGUGCUCAGCAGCCACCCUAUUGUACCUCAUUGCUUGGAACAUUUUCCCAUAACUGCACAGAAUUCUGUAGGACUCACCAUGCUGGUCUAGACACUGGAUAUUUCUAAGAAAUAUCCAAUUACAAAGACGUUAAAGUAUUUUCAAUUUCUGGAAUUCUUCUGAUUAUAAGGUUCUAAGGCACGUGGAUGACACCCACAUAAAAUACAUCUGGCAACAUUCUCUUCAUUACCAGGACACAAAUCUAUCUACCUCAAAACUUGCGGCUCACUAGAUAAUGUAAAAAGUCCUGCUAUGAAAGAAAGCCAGAUUCUGAAGAAUCCCUAAAAUCGCCCUGUUUCUAAAUAGGUAUGCAUAGUCAUAUUAUCCGUGUGUAGUGUAGUUAUGGAAGUCUAUGACUCUGUAUAAACACGUAUCUGCAUAUCCUUACGUUCCGUUACUACCAUGUUAUCACCUCUAGAAGAACAAAAGACAAGACUUGGGCUUCUCAGAGGAGGAACCAGCAAAAACCAUCAAGAAGCAAAAAACGUUGACCAGUCGUGUUUGAAAAUGAGACAUGAGAGCUGUGCCCAACACCAUUGAGAUGCACAAGAUUGCCCGAAGUAAGAAGGCUGGCUGUUGGGCACUUGGGGGGCUCAGUGGGUUAAGCGUCUGCCUUUGGCUCAGGUCAUGAUCCCAGGGUCCUGGGAUCGAGUCCUGUGUUGGGCUCCCUGUUCAGCAAGGAUCCUGCUUCUCCCUCUGCCCCUUCCCUUGCUGGUUCUCUCUUGCUCUCUCUCUCUCAAAUAAAUAAAAUCUUAAAAAAAAAAAUAAGUAAGAAGUAAGAAGCCUAGCUGUCCUAAUGAGAGGAAUGCUCAGCCGGCUGGCAAAGACACCAGAGAAUUUGUUGGACUUGACACAAUCACCGUUGAUCUGUUUUAAAAUCACUCGUCCGUUGCAGGUGUCCUUGCUCAAGUAGAUUUCUUCCACGUGCUGAGAGAGCAGGUUCCUCGCCAAAUUAGUGCUCUGCCGUCUGCCACACCUGCCUCCCGAGCUAUGCUUGUUUCUGUUUCUUGGCUUUUUGCUGGGGAUGUUUUUGCUGCUGUGGUUCCAACCCCAUGCAGCUGCAAGGGAAAAAGCACGUGUGUGCCCACCCCUGGGAUGUUUCCCUGGUGCACACCCUUCCACUCACAUUCCUUUGAACAGAACUCAGCCACUCGGACACAUCGCACCAUAAGCCCAGCUGCGAAACGUCAGGCUGAGAAGAGGCAGCAAUUGCUUUUCUGUCCAUUAGCGGUCCCUAACCACUGGUACGACCAUCUGUAGGUGCGCAUGCGAAGCGAUCAGAACACCCAUCCCUCGCUGCCGGGACUGCAAAUUAGUGCCGUCUCUUUGGAAAUCCACUUGGCACCAUCUUGCAAAGCUGAACAUGACCCAGCAGUUCCCCUGGUUGGGAUAAACUCUGUAGAAACUCUUGCGUACGUGUGCACGUGUUCUCAUGCCCUUAGCGAUAAUGUCUGUACCGGUGAUAAAUGCAAACAACCCACACGUGCGCCCACGGGAGAACAAAUAUAUAGAGUGCGGAAUAAUUGCACAAUGCAAUGUUGUGCAAACGGGGAGAUAACAAAUUAAAUCUGUAUGCAACGUUAUGGGUGAAUCUUAGCAAUUCAGUGUGCACAGAAAAAAUACACAAGACAAGACAAUGAGCUAUCAAUGAGUAAAACUCAAAAAAUAUGUCAUACUUAUAUGACAUAUAUAAGUGUAUACAUAUUAUAUAUAUAUAAUAUAUAUUAUACAUAAUACAACAUGCAUAAUUUGUAUAAUGUAGAUAAGACACAUAUAUGUAAUACACACGUAUGUGUACAUACGUGUGUAUGUGUAAUAUAUGUACAUACACAUAUAUAUUACAUAUGUGUGUCUUAGAAAUUCUUAGAAAUAUUAGAAAUUCAGUGUUGACAGAAAAAAAAAAAUACAGAAGACCAGACAGUGUACUGUCAAUAAAUAAGACUCAAAAGUAGUCAUGCUCAUAUAUAUAUAUCUAAGAUAUAUAUGAAACAUGUAUUACCUAUAAUAUAAUAAUAUAUAUAAUAUAAUAAUCUGUAUGAUAAUAUAUAUACUAUAAAUAAGGCAUGUAUAUGUAAUUUAUAGAUAAUAUAUAAUAUAUUAAUAUAUAAUAUAUAAUAAUGCAAUAUUACAUAUGAUAAUAUAUAAUAUGAAUAAGACAUAUAUGUAAUUUAUAAACAUCUGGGUGCAUGUACCCCUUCGGUUCCCUACAUUUGUAUCUUUGGGGUAAACACCCAGUAGUGCAAUUGCUAGGUCCUAUGGUAGCUGUUUAUAGCAGCAAUGUCCACAAUAGCCAAACUGUGGAAAGAGCCCAGAUGUCCAUCGACAGAUGAAUGGAUAAAGAAGACGUGGUGUAUAUAUACAAUGGAAUAUUAUGCAGCCAUCAAAAGGAAUGAGAUCUUGCCAUUUGCAACGACGUGGUUGGAACUGGAGGGUGUUAUGCUGAGCGAAAUAAGUCAAUCAGAGAAAGACAUGUAUCAUAUGACCUCACUGAUAUGAGGAAUUCUUAAUCUCAGGAAACAAACUGAGGGUUGCUGGAGUGGGGGGGGUGGGAGGCAUGGGGUGGCUGGGUGAUGGACACUGGGGAGGGUGUGUGCUAU